rnacentral:rRNA from 1 species
GAUGAACGCUGGCGGCGUGCUUAACACAUGCAAGUCGAACGAAGCACUUUAUUUGAUUUCCUUCGGGACUGAUUAUUUUGUGACUGAGUGGCGGACGGGUGAGUAACGCGUGGGUAACCUGCCUUGUACAGGGGGAUAACAGUUGGAAACGGCUGCUAAUACCGCAUAAGCGCACGGCAUCGCAUGAUGCAGUGUGAAAAACUCCGGUGGUAUAAGAUGGACCCGCGUUGGAUUAGCUAGUUGGUGAGGUAACGGCCCACCAAGGCGACGAUCCAUAGCCGACCUGAGAGGGUGACCGGCCACAUUGGGACUGAGACACGGCCCAAACUCCUACGGGAGGCAGCAGUGGGGAAUAUUGCACAAUGGGCGAAAGCCUGAUGCAGCGACGCCGCGUGAGCGAAGAAGUAUUUCGGGAUGUAAAGCUCUAUCAGCAGGGAAGAUAAUGACGGUACCUGACUAAGAAGCACCGGCUAAAUACGUG